AUGGCUACUUGUUCAAUAUCUUAUUGUUUCAUUAGUGCCUUAUGUAUUUCUUGUUGCAUUGGAUAUUCUCAGCUUCCAGGUCAUGACUGCUUCAGGUCAGGCAGCCACCGACACUGACCUGGUUCAGUUUUCGUUGAACUUGGAAUUCAUGGAGGCUGAGUUCUUUCUGAAUGGUGCUCUUGGCGAAGGGCUCGACGAUGUCAGUCCAAAUUUGGCUCAAGGAGGUCCGCCUCCUGCUGGUGCUCGUAAGGCCAAUCUCGACAUUCUUGUUGCUCCUAUCAUCAAGGAAUUCGCUUAUCAAGAAGUUGGUCAUAUCAGGUCUGUCCAUUCAUCUCUAGGCAUAAAUGUUAUUAAUCUCUUUAACUAAAAAUUCCUUGCGAGUAACGUAUGUUCGUAUAAUUAAUUUAUACACUUGAUUUCCGCUUUACUAUCUGCUCGUGAUAUAUGUUUUUAUUUUUUUUUUAAAAAUAACAACGAUAUUUAUUGACAAAUUUGCAGAGCAAUUGUUCGAACAGUAGGAGGAUUUCCAAGGCCUCUGUUAAAUCUUAGGCGUCAGAAUUUCGCAAAAUUUUUUGACGAAGCAGUGGGCUUCACUCUAAUACCUCCAUUUGACCCGUAUGCAAACUCAAUCAACUUUUUGUUGGCAUCCUAUUUGAUCCCUUACGUUGGACUCACCGGUUAUGUUGGCACCCUUCCAAACCUCACCGCCCCUGCUUCUCGCAGAGUACGUCAUGGCCAUGCUAAUUACUAUCCCUUCCCUAAAAGUGAUAUUGAAAUUAAUUAUAUUUCGAUUCUGAUUAUGCUUAUCAACACAUGCGUAUUGAAAUUAUCUCCAUACGUUUAUUAAAACAUACAAAAUAAAAGUCUACGUGAGUUCCACGUUACAAUUCGUAAUCUAAUUAUAUCUAUACGUACUAUAUGAUAAUAUGUAGUUGGUUGCAUCACUUUUGGGUGUUAAGGCCGGACAAGAUGCAGUGAUACGCACACUACUGUAUGAAAGAGGGAGUCAGACCGUGCUUCCAUAUCUCCUGACGGUGGCUGAGUUCACGAACCGAAUAUCGGCGCUGAGGAACAAGCUGGGCAAGAGUGGCAACAAAGAUGAAGGCAUCAGAGUACCCGUAACGCUUGGGGCUGAGAAUAAAACCACCAGUAACGUUCUGUCAGCAGAUGUGAAUUCGCUAUCGUAUGCAAGGACGCCACCUGAGAUCUUGCGGAUUGUGUACGGAACAGGCAAUGAAUCCCUGCACGGCCGAUUUUUUCCUCAAGGUGCAAAUGGCAAAAUUGCAAGGACCUACGUUACCGUGGCUGGAGGAGGAAGAGGAGGCUA
rnacentral:lncRNA from 1 species